GUCGUGGGCGUAGGAAAUUUGAGAGGAGCUGUCCUUAGUACGAGAGGACCGGGAUGGACAUACCUCUGGUGUACCAGUUGUCGUGCCAACGGCAUAGCUGGGUAGCUAUGUGUGGACGGGAUAAGUGCUGAAAGCAUCUAAGCAUGAAGCCCCCCUCAAGAUGAGAUUUCCCAACUUCGGUUAUAAGAUCCCUCAAAGAUGAUGAGGUUAAUAGGUUCGAGGUGGAAGCAUGGUGACAUGUGGAGCUGACGAAUACUAAUCGAUCGAAGACUUAAUCAA
rnacentral:rRNA from 1 species